GAGAUGUGGUGUAAGUGUGAUAGCCGCAGUAUGUUUGUAAAUGUAUUUGUGGUCCGUGUUGCAGUUAGUGUGGUAGUAGAGGUGUGGUGUAAGAUCUGUUAGUAGUAGCAGCGUUAAUGUGCUUGUAAGUGUAGUUGUCAUAGUAUUUUGUUGUUAGUGUUGUAGUAUUAGUGUGUUGUAAGCAUGCCACCGUUGUAGCUGUGUUGUUGGUGUUGUUAGUAUGCAGCCGGUGUUGUUGUUAUGGCGAUGUUACAGCAGACACAACAUUAACAUUAGGUCACCCUGUUUCUCAAACUUCAGCACUGAAGAGUUCUAAUUCUUGUCCGACAUUUUUUUCUUCUUAUCUUCGCAUUUUAGAAGCACGCAUUUUUUUUUCUAUAAAUAUUAUCUCAAUUUCAAAAUAUCAUUACGUAACACUAGUAGUGACUGUUGAUACUAGUGUUGCUUCUACUACUAAUACUGCAGUUGUUGUUACUGAUGCCGCUAUCGAUGCAGAUAUAACUGUUGCUGCAAUUGAUACAAUGUGACGCAGCGAACGCCACUGCUGUUGAUGUUGGUGCGGUAGACAACAAGAAUCAGCGAAGCUCAGGACAAAACGCUCUGCGAACCUUCAGAGGAAAGCGUAAGAAAGUAUCAGCUGUUAGCAAUCAGUGGAAUUACUAAGAUGGCCUGUCGCUUGACUGUCCAGGAGCGAGCUAAGAUAGCAGCACGCUUUGAAGUGUGGAAUUCCACUGUUUCGGUUCAGAGACGGUGGCAUGCAUGGAAAGGUAAGCAUGCAACACUACGUCCGUAGAGAAUAAAAAGUUCUCAUGCAAAGCUGAUGAUCAUGGGGUCUGUGAACGAUGCAUGAAGAAAUGGCCGUCCAACCACAUCCCAAUCAGCGGAGAAUGUGGCAACAGUGCAAGAAAUAUUUAAUCGCAGCCCGCAAAAAUCAACACGUCAAGUAGCUCGUGAAAGUGGCCUAACAAGAUACACAAGACGUAUUGUGUUGCUUAGAGAAUUGAAUUUUCGUCCGUGAAAACCCCAUUGCGUGCAAAAGUUAAAACCUGAUGGGAGGACGCGGACCUCAUGAAUAGUCUCUAAGAAGUCCAGAUCUCACUCGAUGUGAUUUUUUACCAGUGAGGUUACACAAGAGAGGUGUACAAGAUAAAACCUCGCAUACUAUAGGACUGGGAGCAUGAACUCAGGAGGUACUCGAUGAUAUCCCAGACGACGUCUUUCAGAAGGUUUUUCAUUCUAUCCCUGGCCGUUUGAGGAAACUGGUUGAAGAUUUACUUUCAUUUUCCCAUGUAAUAAAGAACAUGUAUAAUUUGUUUCAAUAAAUUCGUUAAAGGAA